rnacentral:rRNA from 1 species
GCGCAAGCCUGAUCCAGCCAUGCCGCGUGAGUGAAGAAGGCCCUAGGGUUGUAAAGCUCUUUCACCCGCGAAGAUGAUGACGGUAGCGGAGAAGGAGCCCCGGCUAACUCCGUGCCAGCAGCCGCGGUAAUACGGAGGGGGCAAGCGUUGUUCGGAAUUACUGGGCGUAAAGGGCGCGUAGGCGGUCUGUUGCGUCAGGUGUGAAAGCCCCGGGCUCAACCUGGGAGGUGCACUUGAUACGGGCGACUUGAAUCCGGGGAGAGGAUGGUGGAAUUCCCAGUGUAGAGGUGAAAUUCGUAGAUAUUGGGAAGAACACCGAUGGCGAAGGCAGCCAUCUGGACCGGUAUUGACGCUGAGGCGCGAAAGCGUGGGGACAAACAGGAUUAGAUACCCUGGUAGUCCACGCCGUAAACGAUGUGCGCUAGCCGUCGGGCAGCAUGCUGUUCGGUG